rnacentral:rRNA from 1 species
CCUACGGGAGACAGCAGUGGGGAAUAUUGCACAAUGGGGGAAACCCUGAUGCAGCGACGCCGCGUGAGUGAAGAAGUAUUUCGGUAUGUAAAGCUCUAUCAGCAGGGAAGAAGAAAGACGGUACCUGACUAAGAAGCCCCGGCUAACUACGUGCCAGCAGCCGCGGGAAUACGGAGGGGGCAAGCGUUAUCCGGAUGUACUGGGUGGAAAGGGAGCGUAGACGGAGAAGCUAGUCUGAAGUGAAAGCCCGUGGCUUAACCACUGGACUGCUUUGGAAAUGGUUUGACUAGAGUGCUGGAGAGGUAAGUGGAAUUCCUAGUGUAGCGGUGAAAUGCGUAGAUAUUAGGAGGAACACCAGUGGCGAAGGCGGCUUACUGGACAGUAACUGACGUUGAGGCUCGAAAGCGUGGGGAGCAAACAGGAUUAGAUACCCUGGUAGUC